rnacentral:rRNA from 1 species
GGGUUGUGAGGUUAAGCGACUAAGCGUACACGGUGGAUGCCCUGGCAGUCAGAGGCGAUGAAGGACGUGCUAAUCUGCGAUAAGCGUCGGUAAGGUGAUAUGAACCGUUAUAACCGGCGAUUUCCGAAUGGGGAAACCCAGUGUGUUUCGACACACUAUCAUUAACUGAAUCCAUAGGUUAAUGAGGCGAACCGGGGGAACUGAAACAUCUAAGUACCCCGAGGAAAAGAAAUCAACCGAGAUUCCCCCAGUAGCGGCGAGCGAUCAGUAAU